GAAAUACUGCAUUUUAUGAGUUGUAUUGGCCAUUUAAGAGGUAUUUUAAGACGUAAAAAGUACUAGGUUAGCUAUAAUCUUUCAAAUAUAACUCUUCUGAAUGAAGUCAACUAAUUUCAGGGCAGAAAUAAACUUUCAGUCCGUAACGAAAGGCUUCAAUCAUUUUCUGGCAAGUGAAAUACUGCAUUUUAUGAGUUGUAUUGGCCAUUUAAGAGGUAUUUUAAGACGUAAAAAGUACUAGGUUAGCUAUAAUCUUUCAAAUAUAACUCUUCUGAAUGAAGUCAACUAAUUUCAGGGCAGAAAUAAACUUUCAGUCAGUAACGAAAGGCUUCAAUCAUUUUCUGGCAAGUGAAAUACUGCAUUUUAUGAGUUGUAUUGGCCAUUUAAGAGGUAUUUUAAGACGUAAAAAGUACUAGGUUAGCUAUAA